rnacentral:rRNA from 1 species
GAUGAACGCUAGCGGGAGGCUUAAUACAUGCAAGUCGAGGGGUAACAUAGAACUUCGGUUCUGAUGACGACCGGCGAACGGGUGAGUAACGCGUACACGACCUACCUUUAAGAGGGGGAUAGCCUCGGGAAACUGAGAUUAAUACCCCAUAGUAUUACUGUAUCUAAACAAUGGUAAUUAAAGUUUCGGCGCUUAAAGAUGGGUGUGCGUAUGAUUAGAUAGUUGGUGAGGUAACGGCUCACCAAGUCUACGAUCAUUAGGGGGCGUGAGAGCGUGGCCCCCCACACGGGUACUGAGACACGGACCCGACUCCUACGGGAGGCAGCAGUAAGGAAUAUUGGACAAUGGAGGAAACUCUGAUCCAGCCAUCCCGCGUGAAGGAUGACAGCCCUCUGGGUUGUAAACUUCUUUUAGAAGGGACGAAACGCCUUGAUUUAUCAGGGCCUGACGGUACCUUCAGAAUAAGCACCGGCUAACUCCG